CGGCGGGAACCGGGUCCCGGGGCAUCGCCGGCUGCUCCCACGGCACCCGCACAACUCCCAGCGCCGGGCGCACGCCUCUCCCUUCGGCCCCAGGGCGUAGGGCACGGCGCGGCGAGUCCCUCCCACUCUGGACAACGGCCAAUGGGCGCGGAGCGCGGGAAGCUGGGGGCGGGGCUGUAGCCGCCGGGCCGCCCCGCGACACCUGGGGCUCAGCAGUCUUCACUAACCCGUAGAGACUGGUCAAGGUUUCAGAGCCCCCCCGCCAUGGAAACGUGUGUCAGACUUCGACUACUGUUUGCAGAACACCAGCCACAGUGUUUGCGGAAGCGUGGAAUGAGAAACAGCCCCUACUUUCAAGGAUCUCCCAUCUCCUCUAAUGGAGGAGGAGAUGGGUAAACAGAAACUGAAGAAGAAGUUGAAGAUGGGGCCGUUGGAACAGUGAAAAGACAGCAGCCAUGAAUACACAGACUCAGGGCCAGAGAAAACAAGAAAAUGAGCCCCUCAGAAAUUAUUGGUAAUUUUGGGAAGCACUCCGAACACCCUGAUUGGAUUGGAUG